AGUUACAAGCAUUUUCCUUUUUUUUUCCUACAAUGAAUAUAUAUAUAAAUGGGGAAAAUAUUUUGAAUUUUAAAAAGUAGAGUGAUCAAGAAUGUCAAAGUCUAAAAUUUCUAUAAUUGGAUGUGAACACUCUUGGAAUGUAUUUGUUUAAAUUUUCCAGCCAAUUGGGUUUCGUGGACAGGAAUCACAGCCUUCAGCCUUAGGAAAAAGUCAUAAACACAUUUCAGAAUAUCCAUUUAUUUAUUCAUCAAACACACAUUAUUCCCAAGACAUGCCACAUGUUAUGUUAUAUAUUAGGAAUAAAAUUAGAUACAGUGUGAUUCUGGGUGGCAAAGCCUUUUGGCCUUCAUAUAGGAGAACAGAAAUUUUUAGAAGUUUUCCUAAGUCAGAGGUUCUCAGGCUUAGAGGCACAUUAGAAUCAUCGGAGGAUGAUUCUAGCCCACCAAUGCCCAGGCCCCGCUGGCAGAGAUUCUGAUUUAAUUAAAAAGUGAUUCAGGUGACUCUAAUAUGCUACAGCCUGAAGAAUGGAUAUUGAAACUGAUGGAUGAGGGAUAUGAGGAGGAGCGUGCAGGGGUGAAGGGAAGGAUGAGCCUGAGGUGGAGGCUGGACCAUGAUGGCAGAAGAAGUUGAGGGAUGCGGAGUGCAUGGGAAGAAACGAUGCUCAAUGAUGUCCUAAGAAAUACCGUGCACCUACUUACAGAGUGACGUUUUAUGCUAGUCCUGGAGGAACGGUUGAGGGCCCCCAGCCAAGCGCAGCUGGCAGCAGCAAGAGUUAAAUGGGUCCAGCUGCACAUCCUCAAGGGUCUCCAGUCAGCGAGUCCUGCUGGUCCAUACAAGGAAGAGUAGAAACAGAUUCUAAGGAGAAGGGAGCAAUCAGAAGUCCCCCUCUUCUUGGGGUCUAAGGCUGGACAAGCCCUUCUCUGCGUCCUGUUGUACACCAGAGGGAGGUUUGCAUAUAUAAAGCCAUGUUUACUGGAUUUGGUACUGUGUCCUUCCAAACUGCAACUGUGAACAUCACGGAUGAGGAGAAGAGGAAGAGAAUGCACACAAGAUGGGCAUCGACCUGGGAGAAGUCACUUCAAUGAAAGGAAGGAAAGGGAUCUGCUUGGGGGUAGGAGGUAAUCAGUAGGUGCUGCAUAAAACAAGAUGUGCGAAGUUAGACUUCACCACCUCACAAUCUUGCCUUCAGCAGUCUUCACUGUUAACAGUCAUCUCACGGGGCACCUUGGGAAGAGAGUUUGCUCUGGACAUCAUCUGCAAACUGAGUCAGAGGUACGAUGGUACAGAAGUUGGAGGCCUGGAGUCAGUGUCAAGCCACAUUAUGCUCAUAACUCAAAUGCUGCCUGUGUGACUUUGGGCAGGUUAAUUAGCCUUUCGGUGUCUGUCUAUUCAUCUGUAAAAUACCACAGUUGGAUUAGAAAAUAUCUAAAAUUUCUCCAUCUCUUAAAGUCUAAAGGCACAGACUCUCUAGUGAGCUGAAAGCACUCAGUGAGCCGAUGUGUUGUGAAAUCUACAGAAUAGCUUUGCUGCCAAGUCAAGCAGCAGGGAAAAAUCCUGCAAACAUAAGAGAACUUCUGAACUGUAAUAAAACACAGCCAUACGCCCCCCAUGAAAUUUAGUUCUUUCCUUGUUGGAUACACUUGAUGGUUCACCAGAUUCCUUGUGACAUUUUCUGAGCCCUGGGAAUGGGAAACUCUUGUGUAUUGCGUUUGCUGACCCUUUCAGAAAACAAUUAAACGAACUGGUCUCUUUAGAAUCUGUUUAUAUUACUGAAACCACAUUACCUCCAAGACGGCUGUGCUGUAAACAUUCCUUCCCCACGUCAAGCCAGUCACUAAAUGUGUUAAUUUGCACAAAUAUAUGUAUAUUUAUCUUGUGUGUAAGUAAAAGUUAAUGUCGCAGACAUUUACUCAGUAUCUCCCUGUGGUAGGCAGAAUAAUGGCCCCUCCAAAGAUGUCCACAUCGUGAUCCCUGAAGCCUGUGAAUACGUUACCCUCCAUGGCAAAAGGGACUUUUCAGAUGCCAUGAAGUUAAGGACCUCGAGGUGGGAGAUCAUUCUGGAUUGUCUGAGCGUGCCCAGUGUAAUCACAAGGGUCCUUAU
ensembl:lncRNA